AACGAACGCUGGCGGCAGGCCUAACACAUGCAAGUCGAGCGCGCCCUUCGGGGUGAGCGGCGGACGGGUGAGUAACGCGUGGGAACGUGCCCUUUUCUGCGGAAUAGCCUCGGGAAACUGAGAGUAAUACCGUAUACGCCCUUUGGGGGAAAGAUUUAUCGGAAAAGGAUCGGCCCGCGUUGGAUUAGGUAGUUGGUGGGGUAAUGGCCUACCAAGCCGACGAUCCAUAGCUGGUUUGAGAGGAUGAUCAGCCACACUGGGACUGAGACACGGCCCAGACUCCUACGGGAGGCAGCAGUGGGGAAUCUUAGACAAUGGGGGCAACCCUGAUCUAGCCAUGCCGCGUGAGUGAUGAAGGCCUUAGGGUUGUAAAGCUCUUUCAGCUGGGAAGAUAAUGACGGUACCAGCAGAAGAAGCCCCGGCUAACUCCGUG
rnacentral:rRNA from 1 species